rnacentral:rRNA from 1 species
UACGUAGGGUGCGAGCGUUGUCCGGAAUUAUUGGGCGUAAAGAGCUUGUAGGCGGUUUGUCGCGUCUGCUGUGAAAUUCCGGGGCUCAACCCCGGACUUGCAGUGGGUACGGGCAGACUAGAGUGUGGUAGGGGAGACUGGAAUACCUGGUGUAGCGGUGGAAUGCGCAGAUAUCAGGAGGAACACCGAUGGCGAAGGCAGGUCUCUGGGCCACUACUGACGCUGAGAAGCGAAAGCAUGGGGAGCGAACAGG